GUCCCGGUGAUGACCGAUGACAUUGUCAGCCGACCCCACGUGGGACUGAGGACAUGUCCUGCAAUUCUGAGGGAU
rfam:Tupaia chinensis contig48600, whole genome shotgun sequence.